UAGGGAAUCUUCCACAAUGGACGAAAGUCUGAUGGAGCAACGCCGCGUGAGUGAAGAAGGGUUUCGGCUCGUAAAACUCUGUUGUUAAAGAAGAACAUAUCUGGGAGUAACUGUUCAGGUAUUGACGGUAUUUAACCAGAAAGCCACGGCUAACUACGUGUCAG
rnacentral:rRNA from 1 species